GGGUCAGUAGGUUGGUCGUGCCACCGGUACGUACUGGUCUCACUGAUUCCUCCUUCCUGAAGAACCGUAAUGCCAUUAAUUUGGUGUUGCGGGGAAACAGGACUGUUACCUUGAAAAAAUUAGAGUGUUUAAGGCAAGCUAACGCUUGAAUACAUUAGCAUGGAAUAAUGAAAUAGGACGAUCGAUCCUAUUUUGUUGGUUUCUAGGAUUGACGUA
rnacentral:rRNA from 1 species